rnacentral:lncRNA from 1 species
CAUUUUGCUCUUUAUUGAUAAUGUGUGUUCUUAUUUUGAAUAUUUAUCAUUAAACAUUGUAAUAACACAAAUCUGUGUGAAUUUUUGUGUGUCCAAGCUUCCUUCUUUAGUACCAAGUGGUCGCUUCCACUUUACUCGUCCAUUUCUUGUGGAUUUCAGUUUCUAAUUCCGGAUGGGCUUGAAAAUCAGAACACUAUUCAGCUUAAGCUUUGAGUGAUACAGUAGUUUAUAAAUUCCUAAACGUGGUUCCAACAAGUGUAUUAUGUAGCUUUAGCUCAUACUAAAGCUGUAAAGUAUUUCAGAUACCUAGUCCAUGAAUUUUCUAAUAAUUUAGGGGAGGUUCCCAAACUGAGGUAGUAUUAAAAUAUUGAGGAAAUCAAAAAUAAUAUUUGAGUCAUUAAAAUCAAAGUAAUGAGCAAUCAGAGAGAUGAUUUAAGUCAUUUUAGGGAAAAGUUUCCCUUAUUACAGAGGAGCAUGGUAAAUCAAUGCAUGAGAGACUAAAUAAUUAUUUUAGAUGUGUUGUGCAAUGUCCAGCAGAAUUUAAAUCACAGAAAGGUUUACAUUUGAACAGUGAAAGAUACCUGCAGUAUUCAUAGAUACCUGCGAAUAGUUAGGCAAAUAUGUUUUCAAAUAAAAUACAAAGUUUACACUUGUUUUGCCUAACACGGUUGUACAGGCCAAUGAUUAAAUGCACCAACUUUGGAAUCAAGAUUUCCUGGAUUCAAAUUCAAGCUCCACCAUUGGCAAAUUAUUUAACCUACAUGUGCCUCAGUUCCCUCAUCUAUAUGUGGAGGCAAUAGUUACACUCUCUUAUAAUGUUUUUGUUAGCAUUGUCAGAAGAUAGCUCAUGUGGAGCAUUUUAGAAGAAUACUUAUGUUUAACAGCCAACAGGUUUGCUUAUUAAACUGUAGAGAAAAAUUAAAAAGAAAAAUCAAGAAGUUCUUCACUAGUUUAAUUUUUCUACAAAUGAUAAAAUGUUUCUGAUUAUAUAUGCUAUGAAUUUGUUUAAUGUCUUGUUGAGGCAUCUGAAGUGUGUGUGCAUGUAAAUAUUGGCACAUUUCUGAACACAAUUUACACCGAGCCAAAGAGAGUCACUAAUAUUUGUUAAAUUGCUUUUCUAAAGUGGGAAAAGUAGCAUCUUUUCCAAAGGGUGCUUUAUUCACACUAACUAAUUAAGUGAAUGAGCUUUCUGGUUUUAAUUAAGUGGAGUGUUUGUAUAUGUAUAUGCUUGUUUAUAUACUCAGCAGCAAUAAGGGUGAGAUUUUAAUAUAGAAAGGAAGAAAUAGCCACUAAGAAAGUUCAAGCCCAUUCAAGUAAAAAUCCUAACCUGAUAGUUUUAGGCAAUGCAAAGUUAAUGGACUGGUUUGAAUUCCAUAAAGUGGUACUUUUUUAUCAUCUGAAAUGGCUCAUGGAUCUCAUAUGAACAUACCUAAUAUUUCUGGAGCAUUAACUCUUCAGAGGUAUAAUCACACUGUGUAUCAAUAAAGAUAAAAUACGUGAUAAGUGAAAUUUUGCUUUCUGGCUGCUUUGGGAUUAUGUGGCUAAUGACCAUCAGGCAGACACUCAGGCAAUUACAAUGGGGAGAUUUCUUAGCUCUGAAAGCACAGGCAAGAUUCCAAAAUGUGCAAAACAAGCAGAGCAUAGAGUAGGGGCAAAGGUGAUAUAUUCAUGGAUGAGUGCAAGUUUUGGUUUUCAGGAGUUCAAGGAGCAAGUCUGUUCAGAAUAUUGUUAUAAAGCAGAUAGAGGACAAAAGCAUAAUUGAAAUAACCGGAAUGUACAUAGGCUAACUGCAUUGCUUUAUGUGGUGUGGUUCUGUGGAAAGAUUAUUAGACUUACAAGAGUGAGGACUCACAGUUCUGCCAGCAAAUAAGCUGAGUGGCUUCAGACAAGCCACUUUACUUAUCUCUGGGCCUCAGUUUUCCCGUUUAUGGAUUAAAGACAUUCACAGACAUUGGCUGAGUGCCCGCAAUGUGCCAGCUAUUGAGCUAAACUUGGGAUGCUAGAAAAGACAAUCCCUUUUCUGGAUUAGGAAGUUUACAUUUUAAAGAUGCAAGAAGGCACUAAACAAGGGCAGUGAGGUACAACAAGCUCUGUGGUUUUAUUUCUCCUAAAUGGGAGGAAACAUAGAGAGGAAGAAAAGUAUGCAAUCUCAGUUGCAAAUGGAGGCAGGGGCUCACCAUGUUCUCUGAUACGAUUGUACCGCCCAUUGGUAAGAAUCAGAGGCUGAAAAGAUUCUGUUACUGAAACUCAACACUUAGUUGAUACCUGCUACAACUUUAACUACUCGUUGACUGUUUACGGCUUUUGCUGUAAGUUGGAGUAUGGUGACAAACACACAACAGGAGUCUAAAAACUCAAACGUAUCUAAAAGCCAUGACACAGAAGGCCUGGAGACUGCAUGGAAUGAUGAGGACUGCAGUGAACUCUGAAGUGCCUACCCAUGUGAAACGAACAAGUGCUAUUCGGAAGAAGCAGGUUGUGUUAAUGUAGGUGUCCAAGCCUAGAAUCAUGAAAUUAUAUUUUUAAGAGAAAAAUGACAAUGUGCAUUUUCAUGUUUCAUCAUUAAAACACUUUAUUAAAACACUAAACAUGGCCACAAAGCUUUACGGAUAAAACAGACACUAUCUGGAUAUUUUGCAUGAAUCAAAAAAAAAAAAAAAAAAAAAAGAAAAGAGAAAGGAGUAAGUAGUUGGGACCAUAUGAAUCAUUAUUUAAAAAGGAGAAAGUGAAAUGAUUAAGUAAAAGGGGAAAAGUGGCAAAAAUUUAUGGUGUAAAACUGAGAAAAUAUCUGCAAUAUAUGUGCCUACUGUUUUUAAAUAAAACAAGUUUUUGUAUUAGAUAAUUUUUAACAAUUAUAAUAUUUGUUAUAGUAUUUCAAAGGAUAUUUUAAAUGGUUUGCUAUUAAACUUGAUUAUUUAAACACUAAGGAAAAAACCUUAAUAUUCUUUUGUACGUUACAAGUCUGAAGGUGAUUUUAAUACCCCACAUCUUUACGUUUGAGCCGGCAGCCAGCAGUUGAAAUUGACAUGUGAGAGUUCUUCUAAGUCCCAGAUGCUAGCUGCCAACUGCCUUUUUGUUCUUGUUUCCUUGGAAACGGAGAUUGGUUUCAUGAAAACAAGGUGGAAGUAGCUGGAUGCCAGUUUUCUGAGAUUUGCCCAAACAUGGAUGACUUGCAUGUUACGAAAGGAUUUUGCCGUGUCAAAUGUUUUCAUUUCGUUUAUUAGUUAAGACAUAUAAUUCAAAACUCUUUGGCCACCUCUAGGAGUAUGUAUUUCAUUAAGAUUAUGUAAAAACUACUAAUAGUUUCACAAUUGAAUACAUAAGUAUGUGCCUAUUUGGGGAGGAAGGGGCAUUCAAAUGACAAUUAACAGUAACAGAGUAACAGAAACUGAAAUCUCCGGCCUACCUCUAGGUCCGUUCCCAAGAAUAACAUUGUUAGUCUCACCCCAAUUCUAUUUAGAAUUUAGUGCUAUUCAUCUGUAUCCUGAUAUAAUCAUUGUUAAAACAAUUAAUUUUGCUCUCAUUACGAAAAAAUAAAGAAUUUACCUAAAACCUAUCUCUUUUCCUCUUGUACAUCGAAGGUUUGUUAUAAUUUUCCAUUCUGCUAAUGAUUCUCAUUUUAAAGCAUUCAAAUUGAUGUUAAUUGCAUAAGGAAUACAGUAAUAUUUCCUCCUGAUAAAAAUCUAAAAUGUUACAAAUAAGGCUGUUACCCCUUUGAUUCUCAUUUUGAUCUACACAAAUAAUUGAAUAUUUGUAAGGCUGUGAUACAAUAAUCACAAAUAAGUGAUACAAUAAUCACUUUGGCCUCCCAAAGUGCUGGGAUUACAGGCAUGAGCCACUGCGUCUGGCCAACAUUUACUUUUAACGUGUUACUGAAACUACUAUUCAGGUUGAGUAUGUACAUAAUGGAAGCUGACUCAAAAUUUAACUGCUCCUAUAAGAAAAAAAACUAUGCAUUUUCAUAUUAUUGUCCAUCCAUUCAUUUAUUCAUUCAUUAAAUUGUGUAUUUAUUAAUGCAGAGCCAGAUAUUAUGAAUACUCAGAUGAUUAAGAACCAUAUAUUACUCUCAAGAAUACACUGUGAAGUGAAAAGAUCAAUGGUCAGUCCCAGACAUCGAUUUCCAAGCAAAUAUUAAGUCAUUAGAUCAAUAGUAGCCAAUAAUAGGACCAAGCCUCUUUCCCUUUGGAUUCCUAUCCAGCUGUUGCCUCUGUGAGCAAUGCAGCUUCCUAAUUUCUUUGGUAUACAAGCUUUUCUACUGUUUUCUUUACAUUUCUAAGGCCUCUGGCCACCACUUUUAACAUCUAGUUUAUUAAUUGUCACUACUUAAGUUAAUCUUUGUUCUAAGAAACAUAUUUUCUCAAAAAGAUCUAGAAAGAGAUAAGUUUCAUUAAUGGAGACUUUUCAUAUUAAAAAGUUGCUGGAAACCGUUUUCUCAUGCUUUUAAAAAAUAAUUAUUUUAAGAAUAAGGUGGUAUUCCAAUAAAGGUCAUAAUUAACAUAAACUUAAUAAAAUUUGACCUAGGGAGGGUUUACUUAAUGUAAGCUUCAUUAGAAAUCUCUUUUAUUCUAAAAUAUUAAACCUAAUCAACCCAAACAAAAUUACUCAGCAUGCUGAAUAUGAUACUGAAUGUAGUUCUGUACAGUGUUUUCUUUAAAUUUGAAAGGUCAAUCCAGACUAUCAACCCAUGACCAGCAAUUACCCAUUACAGAAUCGUCAAUAAUUUUAACUUUGAAAAUAGUAGACAGAAAAUGGGAGUUCAUAAUUAUUUGCUGAAUGAGUGAAUGGGAGCUGGAACAGGACUCAGGCAACCUAGUGUAAUUACAACUAGUUUGUAUUCCCUGGCCCUAGUUACCUCAUCUGCAGAGUGAGAUGCGUGGAUACUGUUCGAUUGUAACAUAUUUUAUAUGUAUUAGGUUGGUGCAAAAGUAAUUGUAAUUUUUGGCCUUACUUUCAUUGGCAAAAACUACAAUUACUUUUGCACCAAUCUAAAUACUUUCUAUAUACUGGUGAAGACAGAAAUUCAAUGAUUCAAAAAUACAAUAGGAAUGUUUUUCCCUUCCAAGUACUUUCAGUUUAGAAAAAUGGCCAAAAUUUCUGUCUGUGAUAGUUCUAAUAUUGAAAAAGUAAAGGUAAUAUAAACCAUAAUAAACAGCAUAAGUAUAUUUUAUGUGAUUAUUUUGAUCAUUUAUUCCCCAAUACUAUAUGACUAUUUCCUGUGUGACAUGCACCCCACCAAGUGCUUAGUAUGUAAUAUAAAAAUAUAGACAUACCUCAUUUUAUUGCACUUUAUUUUAUUGUACUUUGUAUUAUGUUUUUUACAAAUUGAAGGUUUAUAGAAAUUCUGCAUCCAGCAAGUCUAUCAGUGCUCUUUUUCUAAUAGCAUGUCCUCACUUUCUGUCUCUGUGUCACAUUUUGGUAAUUCCCACAGUACUUCAAACUUUUUUAUUAUUAAUAUAUCUGUUACUGUUAUCUGUCAUCAGUGAUCUUGCAUGUUAUUUUUGUAAUUGUAUUGUAAUUGUACUGGGGCACCUGAACUGUGCCCACAGGACAAAUAAGAUGGCAAACUUAAUCAAUAAAUGUUCUGUGUAUUCUGACUGCUCCACCAACGGGUCAUUCCCAUUUCUCUCCAUCUCCUUAGAUCUCCCUAUUACCUGAGACACAAUAUUAUGGAAAUUGGGUUAAUUAAUAACCCUACAGUAACCUCUAAACAUUCAAAUGGAAGGAAGAAUCUCAUCUCUCUCACUUUAAAGCAAAAGCUAUGAAUGAUUAAGCUUAGUGAGGAGGGCAUAUCAAAAGCCAAGAUAGGCCGAAAGCUAGGUCCCUUGUGCCAAACAGCCAAUUCGUGAAUGCAAAGGAAAAGUUAUUGAAGAAAACUAAAAGUGCUCCUCCAGCAAACACACAAUGAUAAGAAAGUGAGAAACUCCUAUUGUUGAUGUGGAGAAAGGUUGAAUGGUCUAGAUAGAAGGUCAAACAAGCCAGAUUUCCUUAAUCCAAAGCCUAAUCCAGAAUAAGACUCUAACUCUCUUCAAUUCUAUGAAUGCUGAAAGAAAGAGAUGAGGAAGCUGAUGAAGAAAAAUUUGAAGCCAGCAGAGGUUGGUUCAUGAGGCUUAAAGAAAGAAGCCAUCUCCAAAACACGAAAGUGCAAAGUGAAGAAGCAAGUGCUGAUACAGAAAUUGCAGCAACCUAUCCAGAAGAUCCAGCUAAGACCUUUGAUGAGUGUAGCUACAUUAAACAAUAUAUUUUCUAUGUAGACAAAACAGCCUUCAAUUAGAAGAUAAUGCCAUCAAGAACUUUCACAGAAAAGAGAGGUCAAUGACUGGCCUCAAAGCUUCAAAGGACAGGCUGACUCUCUAAUAGGUGAAAGGGAGUUGCCUCGUCUCAUGAGACUUUGGACUGUGGACUUUUGAGUUAAUGCUGAAAUGAGUUAAGACUUGGGGGACUGUUGAGAAGGGA